AACCUUUACACUGCACGACAGUGCGAUAGGGGGACUCCGAGUGCGAGGGCAUAUAGCCCUCGCUUUUCUGAACCGUAAGGUGGUUCAGGAACAAGGACUGGGCAAGACCGGUGCCAGCCGCCGCGGUAAUACCGGCAGUCCGAGUGAUGGCCGAUAUUAUUGGGCCUAAAGCGUCCGUAGCCGGCCGGACAAGUCCGUUGGGAAAUCGACGCGCUCAACGCGUCGGCGUCCAGCGGAAACUGUCCGGCUUGGGGCCGGAAGACCUGAGGGGUACGUCCGGGGUAGGAGUGAAAUCCUGUAAUCCUGGACGGACCACCAAUGGGGAAACCACCUCAGGAAGACGGACCCGACGGUGAGGGACGAAAGCUAGGGUCUCGAACCGGAUUAGAUACCCGGGUAGUCCUAGCUGUAAACGAUGCUCGCUAGGUGUGCCGUAGGCUACGAGCCUGCGCUGCGCCCUAGGGAAGCCGAGAAGCGAGCCGCCUGGGAAGUACGUUCGCAAGAAUGAAACUUAA
rnacentral:rRNA from 1 species